UCCCUCUUCCUGCUCCUCUCUCCUCUUCUCUCUUCUCUCUCUUCUCUCGCUCCUCUUCUGUCCUCUCUUGCUCCAGUCUCCUCUACUCUUGCUCCUCUUCUCUCUUCUCUCUCCUCUUCUCUCUUCUUUUCUCUCUUCUCUUCUCUCCUUGCUCCUCUUCCCUCUCUCCUUUUCUCUUCCCUCUCUCCUUUUCUCUUCCCUCUCUCCUUUUCUCUUCCCUCUCUCCUUUUCUCUUCCCUCUCUCCUCUUCCCCCUUCCCUCCUGUCUUCCCUCUUCUUCCCUCUUCUCUUCCCUCUUGCCUCGUUUCUUCUCUCUUCUCUCCUCUUCCCUCUUCCCUCUCUCCUCUCUUCCCUCCUCCCUCUUCCCUCACUCCUCUCUUCUCUCACUCCUCUUCUCCUCUUCUCUUCUCCCCUUCUCCCCUUCUCCUCUUCUCUCUCCUCUUCUCCUCUUCUGACUGAAAUACUUUAAAAGAGAAUGUUAUUACUGCUAUACAAAUUCUGCUUGAUUACUGCUUACCCUCCAAGAACAAAAGGAAAAGGUAGUUUGUCAAGCUAUGACAUAACUUAUGUUAAUUAGUUAUCUUUUUAGGCUCCCCUGCAGUUUGAUGAAAGAUUGGGCAGGAGAUCAAACAAAAGUUCUUCUUGAUUCGGGAUAGAGAAAAGCUACUCCUCACAGAAAUGGUUGAGUUCGAGUUUCCUGCCUCAUCUGUAAUUUUUGGAGCAAUUAAAAAGAAAAAGGAAAAAAGGAGUUUCUCUCACAUUACUUCUUUUCCCUUUUAGUUAAAGAAGAAAGAGAAAGAAAGAGGUCUYUUUUCUACUUGUAUUCUCUAAUAUGAAACUCAAAGUUAAGAAUUCUUUUUUAGGCCAAUCUUGGUUUAAUUUGCUGUGAAUAAUUUUUUUUUUCUGCAAUACUUAAACCCCAAAAGUAAGGAGUUUUCUUUUUGUAAAGAUAAGGGUAAUUGAAUCUUACCCUCAGGGUGUAUGUGGAUUGCCAGAGGAAGGAUUCUUGCCUCUCAUAUACAGAGUUGUAUGGUUGGCUAGAAUCAUAUAGUGGCUAAUGCUUUCUGAAUGUUUCAGGAAUUGUAGUUGGGAUGAUCAUUUAUACACAAUUUAAAUGUAUAUCCAAAGUGCCAUUACCCUGUUAAUGUUUGUCAUCUAAUCGGGAGCAGAUACAAAAGUAAGUUACCUACGAGUCAUACAGAAUAGCUAACAAACAAUGAACAGUCAAAAUGGAGAAUAAGCUGCAAUCUGAAAUAGAUUGUCCAAAGUAUUUUUCAGGAACUCGUGAGUAUCAAGGACAUAAAAAUCAUAUACUCUUUACUAGCAAAAGAAGUUCAUUUUUAUGUAGUGUAUUUUGGAGACAUUAAGRAAGAGCUCCAAAAUUGAAGGUAUAAUAUGUAUACAUAAGACAUGCCUAGAUGACUACAAGUGAUCACUAGUUGCAUCUGGCAUAAACUCCGUAUCACUGAAAUAUGUGGCUGAAAGCCAUUAUUAACAAGAGAAACCAAAGUAUUGUAAGAAAAUCUCAUAAUAAAAACCUGAUAUCUUAUGGAUUCCGUUUACUA
ensembl:lncRNA